rnacentral:rRNA from 1 species
GCACAAGCGGAGGAGCAUGUGGCUUAAUUCGAUGCAACGCGAAGAACCUUACCUGGGUUUGACAUGUACCUGCACGUCCCGUGAAAGCGGGAUUCCUUCGAGGGUGGUACACAGGUGCUGCAUGGCUGUCGUCAGUUCGUGCCGUGAGGUGUUUGGUUAAGUCCAGCAACGAACGCAACCCCUGUGCCCAAUUGCCAGCGCGUAAUGGCGGGAACUUUGGGCAGACUGCCUGUUUACGCAGGAGGAAGGUGGGGACGACGUCAAGUCAGUAUGGCCCUUACAUCCAGGGCUGCACACGUGCUACAAUGGCCGGUACAAAGGGACGCAAGACCGCGAGGUGGGGCAAACCCCCAGAGCCGGCCCCAGUUCAGAUUGCAGUCUGCAACCCGACUGCAUGAAGUUGGAUUCGCUAGUAACGGCGCAUCAGCUACGGCGCCGUGAAUACGUUCCCGGGCCUU